GACGAACGCUGGCGGCGUGCUUAACACAUGCAAGUCGAACGGAAAGGCCCUGCUUUUGUGGGGUGCUCGAGUGGCGAACGGGUGAGUAACACGUGAGUAACCUGCCCUUGACUUUGGGAUAACUUCAGGAAACUGGGGCUAAUACCGGAUAGGAGCUCCUGCUGCAUGGUGGGGGUUGGAAAGUUUCGGCGGUUGGGGCUGGACUCGCGGCUUAUCAGCUUGUUGGUGGGGUAGUUGCUUACCAAGGCUUCGACGGGUAGCCGGCCUGAGAGCGUGACCGGCGACAAGGGGACUGAGAGACGGCGCAGACGCCUACGGGAGGCAGAAGUGGAAAAUAUUGCGCAGUGGGCGGGAGCCUGAUGCAGCAACGCCGCGUGCGGGAUGACGUCCUUCGGGUUGUAAACCGCUUUCGCAUGUGACGAAGCGUGAGUGACGGUAAUGGGUAAAGAAGCACCGGCUAACUACGUG
rnacentral:rRNA from 1 species